rnacentral:rRNA from 1 species
GAGACAGCAGCAGCCGCGGGAAUACGGAGGAUCCGAGCGUUAUCCGGAAUUAUUGGGUUUAAAGGGUGCGUAGGCGGAUAGAUAAGUCAGUGGUGAAAGACGGUGGCUCAACCAUCGCAGUGCCGUUGAUACUGUUUAUCUUGAAUAUGGAUGAGGUAGGCGGAAUGUGGCAAGUAGCGGUGAAAUGCAUAGAUAUGCCACAGAACACCGAUUGCGAAGGCAGCUUACCAAGGCAAAAUUGACGCUGAGGCACGAAAGCGUGGGGAUCGAACAGGAUUAGAUACCCCCGUAGUCCCUGUCUCUUAUAC